AUUGAACGCUGGCGGCAGGCCUAACACAUGCAAGUCGAACGGUAACAGGAAGACGCUUGCUUCUUUGCUGACGAGUGGCGGACGGGUGAGUAAUGUCUGGGAAACUGCCUGAUGGAGGGGGAUAACUACUGGAAACGGUAGCUAAUACCGCAUAACGUCGCAAGACCAAAGAGGGGGACCUUCGGGCCUCUUGCCAUCGGAUGUGCCCAGAUGGGAUUAGCUAGUAGGUGGGGUAACGGCUCACCUAGGCGACGAUCCCUAGCUGGUCUGAGAGGAUGACCAGCCACACUGGAACUGAGACACGGUCCAGACUCCUACGGGAGGCAGCAGUAGGGAAUAUUGCACAAUGGGCGCAAGCCUGAUGCAGCCAUGCCGCGUGUAUGAAGAAGGCCUUCGGGUUGUAAAGUACUUUCAGCGGGGAGGAAGGGAGUAAAGUUAAUACCUUUGCUCAUUGACGUUACCCGCAGAAGAAGCACCGGCUAACUCCGUG
rnacentral:rRNA from 1 species